ensembl:lncRNA
AUCUGUAAUACUCCUAAAGUUCAAAAUUAAGUGCUUCCAUCAAAUGCUGUCUGUAGCAUAAAAACAUUUCUUCAGUGCCUGGCAGGCUGUAGCUGAUUGGAGUGAGGCAGAGCACUCAGAACUCUCCCUGGUGUUUUGCCUACAAACAGCACCCAAUGCACAGCCAAAACAUUCCUUCUCUGUGCAGUGUGUAUAAAGGAGCAGGACCUCAAACCGAGUCAUGGGAACUCUAUGCUGACUCCAUGGUGUGGGAGCAAUACACACUGCUGGCUUUGGGCAGCACCCAGCGGGGGCUCACCCACGUGCCCCAGCCCCACACAUGGGGGGCAGGCAGGCGGGGACUGGCUGUGCUGCACGAUGAGUUCCAUCGGCUUCUGCAGAGACAUCUCUGAGCUAUCUGUGCAAGAGGAAACUCCACACCUUCAGCAAGAGGUUUGUCAGCUGAUAUGAGCUGCAGGGCACACCCCUGCUUCCCCUCCCCUCUCCUAUCCCUCCUGUCUGAGGGUGGCAGUUAAACUCCUGAGCUGCACGGAGAUAUGUGCUCAUUCUCUCCACUGUGCUGACUUUUUCCAUGGUGUAAAAUGCAUAUCUGAAGAAAAGGAAAAGGCAAAUGGAAUGAGUUUGGUGUGAAUGUAGGAGGUGAUAAAUGAGCAGAGAAGCAAGUCAGCAAAAGGAAGAAGGCUGAUCCAGUGCAAUGCUGUGUACAGAGUUGUGUCAUGUGGCUUCCUCAUUUACACCACGCAGACAUCACUGCAGCCAUUGCUCUGCUCAGGAACCUCGCCUCCCCUCUGUGGGACGAUGAAUGUCCACAAUCUUGGGAGCAAAAGUCACCUUCUGUGCCCAGAGCUGUGAGAUGGAGUGCACCCAGGCCUGUACAAAAUGUGUAACUUCCUCCAGCACUUCUGCUGCAGAGAUUGGCAGAUCGCUGAGUGCCAGUGCUGGAGUUAGCACUGCUUAUCUGCACCUCAUUUCCACUGAAUCCUGCGUGGGGAACUUCCUAACUCCUGAACUCCUGCUAUGAAGCCACAGCCCCACCAUCUUAUAAGAGCAUCAGGAAAAAAUAAGGUCUGCUCCUCUGGGACUUAAUGAGGGGACACCAUUUCCACCAUAGCCUGGUUAAAUGAGCUGAACUGCUGCCCUAACUGAAGGAGGGCAGCAUUCACGUUGGCGGCUUGUGGCAUUCUCACCUCACCAGGAGAUGCCACUUUAACUGCCAUGGCUCUGAGCUCUGCUGAGCCUGGUGUCAGCACGCCUUGCUGGAUGCAGAUGACUGCAAGGGUUUAACGCUCACUUCCUCACUCCUCUAACAAAAAACUUCUGUGAUUACUGACUACAAAAAUUGUUUCAAGAAUUUUAUUCUUAGAAACUCCUCUCCCAACGUUUAUGUUACCAUGUCUGAUCUGUCUGCAUGCUGCCUUGCAGCUGAUCUAGCAGGGGCAGCUACAAGAAUUGUGUACAAACUACAGCAAG